CUGACGAGCACGCCGCGUGAGUGAGAAGGUUUUCGGAUCGUAAAGCUCUGUUGUAAGAGAAGAACGAGUGUGAGAGUGGAAAGUUCACACUGUGACGGUAUCUUACCAGAAAGGGACGGCUAACUACGUGCCAGCAGCCGCGGUAAUACGUAGGUCCCGAGCGUUGUCCGGAUUUAUUGGGCGUAAAGCGAGCGCAGGCGGUUAGAUAAGUCUGAAGUUAAAGGCUGUGGCUUAACCAUAGUAGGCUUUGGAAACUGUUUAACUUGAGUGCAAGAGGGGAGAGUGGAAUUCCAUGUGUAGCGGUGAAAUGCGUAGAUAUAUGGAGGAACACCGGUGGCGAAAGCGGCUCUCUGGCUUGUAACUGACGCUGAGGCUCGAAAGCGUGGGGAGCAAACA
rnacentral:rRNA from 1 species